UACGUAGGGUGCGAGCGUUGUCCGGAAUUACUGGGCGUAAAGAGCUCGUAGGUGGUUUGUCGCGUUGUCCGUGAAAACUCACAGCUCAACUGUGGGCGUGCGGGCGAUACGGGCAGACUUGAGUACUGCAGGGGAGACUGGAAGUUCCUGGUGUAGCGGUGGAAUGCGCAGAUAUCAGGGGGAACGAACCGGUGGCCGGAAGGCGGGUCA
rnacentral:rRNA from 1 species